UCCAGACUCCUACGGGAGGCAGCAGUGGGGGAUAUUGCACAAUGGGGGAAACCCUGAUGCAGCGACGCCGCGUGGGUGAAGAAGCGCCUCGGCGCGUAAAGCCCUGUCAGCAGGGAAGAAAAUGACGGUACCUGAAGAAGAAGCCCCGGCUAACUACGUGCCAGCAGCCGCGGUAAUACGUAGGGGGCAAGCGUUAUCCGGAUUUACUGGGUGUAAAGGGGGCGCAGACGGCGAUGCAAGCCAGGAGUGAAAGCCCGGGGCCCAACCCCGGGACUGCUCUUGGAACUGCGUGGCUAGAGUGCAGGAGGGGCAGGCGGAAUUCCUGGUGUAGCGGUGAAAUGCUUAGAGAUCAUACAGAACACCGAUUGCGAAGGCAGCUUACCAAACUAUAUCUGACGUUGAGGCACGAAAGCGUGGGUAGCAAACAGGAUUAGAUACCCUUGUAA
rnacentral:rRNA from 1 species